UGAGUAGCGAAAAGAAAGGUGAGAAUCCUUUCCACCGAAAGCAUAAGGAUUCCUGGGCAACGAUCGUCGUCCCAGGGUAAGUCGGGACCUAAUCCGAGGCAGAGAGCGUAGGAGAUGGACAACUGGCAGAUAUUCCAGUACCGGUAAUGAUUGUUUGAGCGAAGGAGUGACACAGGAGGGCAGGCAGGCAGGAGAUUGGAAGAUCCUGUACAAGCGUGUAGGAUAGGUUACAGGCAAAUCCGUAACCUGAAAGUCUGAGACGUGAUGUGGAGAGAAUAGAGAUAUUCUUGAAGCUGUUGACCCCACACUGUCGAGAAAAGCUUCUAGUGAGAGAAUUACCGCCCGUACCGUAAACCGACACAGGUAUGCGGGGAGAGAAUCCUAAGGUGCGCGGGAGAACCCUCGUUAAGGAACUCGGCAAAAUGUACCCGUAACUUCGGGAUAAGGGUAGCCGGCGUUGUGAAGGAAUUAACUUCUGGAGCAUAGACCGGUCGCAGAGAAGAGGCCCAAGCGACUGUUUACCACAAACACAGGUGCCUGCUAAAGAGAAAUCUGACGUAUAGGUGCUGACACCUGCCCAGUGCCGGAAGGUUAAGGAAGGAUGUCCGGAGUAAUCCAAAGCAUUCGACCGAAGCCCCGGUGAACGGCGGCCGUAACUAUAACGGUCCUAAGGUAGCGAAAUUCCUUGUCGGGUAAGUUCCGACCCGCACGAAAGGUGUAACGAUUUGGGCACUGUCUCAACGAGGGACCCGGUGAAAUUGAAGUACCUGUGAAGAUGCAGGUUACCCGCGACUGGACAGAAAGACCCCAUGGAGCUUUACUGUAACCUGACAUUGGGUUCUGAUACAUUACGUACAGGAUAGGUGGGAGGCAUGGAAACCGGAACGCUAGUUUCGGCGGAGCCGACGUUGGGAUACCACCCUUGAUGUAUCGGAAUUCUAACCGUAGGAGUAACGAAACUCGGGACAGUGUCAGGCGGGCAGUUUGACUGGGGCGGUCGCCUCCCAAAGAGUAACGGAGGCGCCCAAAGGUUCCCUCAGCGCGGCCGGAAAUCGCGCGAAGAGUGUAAAGGCAGAAGGGAGCUUGACUGAGAGCCAAACACGGCGAUCAGGUACGAAAGUAGGGCUUAGUGAUCCGGUGGCAUCCAAGUGGAAGGGCCAUCGCUCAACGGAUAAAAGCUACCCUGGGGAUAACAGGCUAAU
rnacentral:rRNA from 1 species